rnacentral:rRNA from 1 species
UACAGAGGGGGCAAGCGUUGUUCGGAAUUACUGGGCGUAAAGGGCGCGUAGGCGGCCCGCUAAGUCGAAUGUGAAAUCCCCGGGCUCAACCCGGGAACUGCGUCCGAUACUGGCGGGCUUGAAUUCGGGAGAGGGAUGCAGAAUUCCAGGUGUAGCGGUGAAAUGCGUAGAUAUCUGGAGGAACACCGGUGGCGAAGGCGGCAUCCUGGACCGGCACUGACGCUGAGGCGCGAAAGCCAGGGGAGCAAACGGG